rnacentral:rRNA from 1 species
UACGUAGGGUCCGAGCGUUGUCCGGAAUUAUUGGGCGUAAAGAGCUCGUAGGCGGCUUGUCGCGUCGACUGUGAAAACCCGUGGCUCAACCAUGUGGUCUGCAGUCGAUACGGGCAGGCUAGAAUUCGGUAGGGGAGACUGGAAUUCCUGGUGUAGCGGUGAAAUGCGCAGAUAUCAGGAGGAACACCAAAGGCGAAGGCAGUGUCCUGGGGAGUACCUGACGCUCAGGUGCGAAAGCCAGGGGAGCGAACGGG